rnacentral:rRNA from 1 species
UACGUAGGGGUCCAGCGUUGUCCGGAAUCAUUGGGCGUAAAGCGCGCGUAGGCGGCCAGAUAAGUCCGGUGUGAAAGUCAAAGGCUCAACCUUUGAAUGCCGCUGGAAACUGCCUGGCUUGAGUCCGGAAGGGGCGAGUGGAAUUCCUGGUGUAGCGGUGAAAUGCGCAGAUAUCAGGAGGAACACCAAUGGCGAAGGCAGCUCGCUGGAACGGUACUGACGCUGAGGCGCGAAAGCGUGGGGAGCGAACAGG